GUGUUUAAAUUUUUUUUUUUUUCAGAUAGGUGACACAAGGCCGAUAAGCUUCUGUCGCUUCAGCCAGGACAGCCAAAUGUUGAUCACAUCUAGCUGGUCGGGGCUGGUGAAGGUGUGGUCGGUGCCGGACUGCGUGUUGCUGCAGACCCUCAAAGGUCACACGUGUAAUGUGAGUGCUGCCAGCUUCCACCCGCAGGCGGCUCUACCGCCGCAAUGGAGGCAGAAGAUAGAACAAGAGAAGGAGAAGACAGAAGAUGAGUCAGUAGAAGUGAUGGACACAGAAGAGACUUCUGAGGCUUGUCAAAUGGCGUCAUGCGCUUACGACGGCUCCGUACAUCUGUGGAACUUUAAAAGUGACUCCCCGCUGGCGUCGCUGAGCGGUCACUCACCGCGUCGAGUGUCGCGCGUGGAGUUCCACCCGUCGGGCCGCUUCCUCGCCACCACCGUGUUCGACAACUCGUGGAGACUUUGGGACCUGAACACGAAAACCGAAGUCCUACAUCAAGAGGGUCACGCUAAGCCAGUCUACAGCGUCGCCUUCCAGGGGGACGGAUCCCUCGCCGUCACCGGCGGCAUGGACGCGUUCGGUCGCGUGUGGGACCUGCGCACGGGGCGCUGCGUCAUGUUCCUGGAGGGGCACCUGGGGCCCGUGCUGGGCGCCGACUGGGCGCCCGCCGGACACCAGCUCGCCACCGCCGCCGCCGACCAUCAGGCCAAGAUCUGGGACCUCAGGCGGCGGGCGCCGAUUUACACCAUACCAGCGCACACGCAUCUGUUGAGUGAUGUGCGCUACCAGCGCACCCACGGCCAUUUCCUGCUGACGAGCUCGUAUGACAAGAGCGCCAAGCUGUGGUCCAACCCCGCCUGGCACCCGCUGCGGACGCUCUCCGGGCACGACAACAAGGUGACUGCAUCAUUAUACCAUGUGCGCUGUAGCAUGGUGCGGGUGACAGUUGCCAAGCUGUGGUCCAACCCCGCCUGGCACCCGCUGCGGACGCUCUCCGGGCACGACAACAAGGUCACUCAUCGUCAUUAUACUAUGUGCGCUGUAGCAUGGUGCGGGUGACAGUUGCCAAGCUGUGGUCCAACCCCGCCUGGCACCCGCUGCGGCCUCUCUCCGGACACGACAACAAGGUGAUGAGCGCGGACAUAUCCGUGGACAGCAAGUAUAUCGCGACGUGCUCCUACGACCGGACAUUCAAGCUGUGGGCGCCGGACCUCGCCUG
rnacentral:misc_RNA from 1 species